rnacentral:rRNA from 1 species
AAACCGCCUAGAGGUAAACGGGUGGAUCCGCAAAGUCGGCCCGCGGAAUUCAGCUCGGAAGGCCGUGAGCCUGCGGUGGGUCGGGGAUCUUAUCGACCCUCCUGCUGUGGGAUCUCGCGUCGGCCGUGUGCACUUUCCGCGGGCAGAGCGCCACGACCGGUUCUCGGGGCGGUCAUAAGGCGGCGGGGAUGGUAGGCGUGCGCCUCGGCGCGCGCUGGUAUAGCCCCGCCUGUCCCGAUCCGCUCGGGGACCGAGGAGCCGCCGUCGGUGUAGGCCGCCUUGCCUUCCCGGGAGGUUCGACUGGCAGAGACUGGGCAACCGUGUCUGCCGACCGCCUUUCGGUGAUGGACGGGGUGGGCCCGCCGACACAGGGUCGGUGGCGAAUCGGUCGGCCCUCCACCCGACCCGUCUUGAA